GACUGUGCAAAGGUAGCAUAAUCAGUUGGCUUAUAAUUAAGGUCUUGUAUGAAGGAAUUUACGGGGAACUACUGUCUUUAUGUUAAUAAGGCGAAUUUGGUAAGCAAGUGCAAAUACUUGUAAUUGUUAAAUAGACGAGAAGACCCUAGAAACUUUUAAUUAUCUUUUGCUGGGGCGGCAAAGUUGCAGUUAACCAACUUUAUUUAACACGUAGUUUGGACGGUAGAAUAAGUUACUCUAGGGAUAACAGCAUAAUUAAA
rnacentral:rRNA from 1 species